UACCUACUUAACUCAGGGGUUAGAAUAUUGCUUUCAUACGGUAACAGUCUUUGAUUCAAAUCCAAUCAUAGAU
rnacentral:tRNA from 1 species